rnacentral:rRNA from 1 species
UGGGGAAUCUUGGACAAUGGGCGCAAGCCUGAUCCAGCCAUGCCGCGUGGAUGAUGAAGGCCUUAGGGUUGUAAAAUCCUUUCGUUGGGGACGAUAAUGACGGUACCCAAAGAAGAAGCUCCGGCUAACUUCGUGCCAGCAGCCGCGGUAAUACGAAGGGGGCUAGCGUUGUUCGGAUUUACUGGGCGUAAAGCGCGUGUAGGCGGAUAGUUCAGUCAGAGGUGAAAGCCCAGGGCCCAACCUUGGAACUGCCUUUGAUACUGGCUAUCUUGAGUUUGGGAGAGGUGUGUGGAACUCCGAGUGUAGAGGUGAAAUUCGUAGAUAUUCGGAAGAACGCCAGUGGCGAAGGCGACACACUGGCCCAAUACUGACACUGAGGUGCGAAAGCGUGGGGAGCAAACAGGAUUAGAUACCCUAGUAGUCCCUGAGCGGGC